AUUGAAACACCAGUUCUCAUCUGAUCACUGAAGUUAAGCAAUAUUGAACCUGGUCAGUACUUAGAUGAGCAACUGCUCGAGAAUACCAGGUGCUGUAAG